GGGAAGGUGAAUGAUUUUGUGUUUGUGUUAAGGGCUAUAAAAGUCUUACUGCUCCGCCCAAUAUCGCCACUCAACCCGACGUUCCCUCGACGUUCGCUCGACGUUCCAGCGACUCAACAACCUCUCAACAACCUCCAUCUCGUCAAUCUCACCAUGAAGAUCAUCCUCUUCACCCUGGUCAGCCUCGCCAUCUGUGGAGUGGCUAGCGGUCUCAAGUGCUACUCGUGCGUCGAUCAAAUCUCCAACGAUCAGUGCACGCUGGCCAACAGCACCGUGGACUGCAACGGCACGGGCCAGCAAUGCUACGCAAA